rnacentral:rRNA from 1 species
GACGUAGGGUCCAAGCGUUGUUCGGAUUUACUGGGCGUAAAGAGCGCGUAGGCGGCUUGUUAAGUGUGAAGUGAAAUCUCCAGGGCUCAACCCGGAAACUGCUUUACAUACUGGCAAGCUGGAGUGAUGCAGAGGUUUGUGGAAUUCCUGGUGUAACGGUGAAAUGUGUUGAUAUCAGGAGGAACACCCAUGGCGAAGGCAGCAAACUGGGCAUCAACUGACGCUGAGGCGCGAAAGCGUGGGUAGCAAACAGG